rnacentral:rRNA from 1 species
UUACGGUCAAAUCACACUGAAACACCGGUUCUCGUUCGAUCACCGAAGUUAAGCAUCAUAGAGCCAGGUCAGUACUUACAUGGGGGACCGCUUGGGAACACCUGGUACUGUAAG